GAACUUUCCAGAGAUGGAUUGGUGCCUUCGGGAACUGUGAGACAGGUGCUGCAUGGCUGUCGUCAGCUCGUGUUGUGAAAUGUUGGGUUAAGUCCCGCAACGAGCGCAACCCUUAUCCUUUGUUGCCAGCGAUUCGGUCGGGAACUCAAAGGAGACUGCCAGUGAUAAACUGGAGGAAGGUGGGGAUGACGUCAAGUCAUCAUGGCCCUUACGACCAGGGCUACACACGUGCUACAAUGGCGCAUACAAAGAGAAGCGACCUCGCGAGAGCAAGCGGACCUCAUAAAGUGCGUCGUAGUCCGGAUUGGAGUCUGCAACUCGACUCCAUGAAGUCGGAAUCGCUAGUAAUCGUGGAUCAGAAUGCCACGGUGAAUACGUUCCCGGGCCUUGUACACACCGCCCGUCACACCAUGGGAGUGGGUUGCAAAAGAAGUAGGUAGCUUAACCUUCGGGGGGGCGCUUACCACUUUGUGAUUCAUGACUGGGGUGAAGUCGUAACAAGGUAACCGUAGGGGAACCUGCGGUUGGAUCACCUCCUUA
rnacentral:rRNA from 1 species